GUAGCGGUUCAAGAGAUUUUCUCCCAGGAAUGAAAAAUAAGGGACUUUGAAGGAGCGCGUGUCUCUCCGGUUUCCGGAAUCCAGUUUGAUCUCGCGGAUUCCAGAGGACUGUAUACCUACACUCGCCAGUACCUGCCAGAGCGUCGCGACGCCGUCCUGUCAACCUCCCGCAAGAUAUUUUUCCCGUAUGGCUUACGACGAAGUAAAGUAACACCACUUCAAAGGGUGGCUCGACUUACAAUCGAACUGGGUUCGUUACUUUGAGUCUUUUAAUCAACUCGAUAACGUGCGAAACUGGGACGCUUGUUCCUCCCUUCGGCAUUAAACACUGCAGUUCCUUCUACAUCGACGAUCAGUGUUGUUUUACCGGAAACUAAGCCCCGCGGUGUCUCAACGAAGCGUGGGAGCGGCGAACGAAGAAGGGAAGAAGAAAAACGAGGACAAAGGAAGGAAAAGGGAAAAGACAAGUCGCUGAGCAUAGGGAUUCAUCCGUCACUGUCGAUAUGUCGGAAAGCCAAAAAGCCGCCUCACCGUGGAAAAAAAAGAAGGUGAAAACCCCGAUGUAUGUACAUAAAUGAAAAAACAACCAUGACUCGAUCGGUGUAACGGAAAAAUUCAACCAAAGAAAGAAAUAACCGUGAAAAAUCAGGGUGAAACUACAAACGAUACACUGGGGGCCGUUUCCACCUGUACCCGAUAAGUCGUUUCGCCUUGUUGGAUAUUUUCUUUUUCACUGUUUUCGUUAUUACUCCGAUUGUAUACGUAUACCGAUCAAUCUAGAACAACGUUAAAUGGAACUUCGAGCAAAGGAAUUAGAAACAAAAAACAAAAAAAAGAAACACGGUGUUACUUGUUAAAUA